UCCCUGAUAGCUCAGUUGGUAAAGAAUCUGCCUGCAAUGCAGGAGACCCUGGUUUGAUCCCUGGGUCGGGAA
rfam:TPA: Bos taurus chromosome 14, whole genome shotgun sequence.